rnacentral:rRNA from 1 species
AUUGAACGCUGGCGGCAUGCCUUACACAUGCAAGUCGAACGGCAGCACGGGUGCUUGCACCUGGUGGCGAGUGGCGAACGGGUGAGUAAUACAUCGGAACAUGUCCUGUAGUUGGGGAUAGCCCGGCGAAAGCCGGAUUAAUACCGCAUACGAUCUACGGAUGAAAGCGGGGGACCGUCGGGCCUCGCGCUAUAGGGUUGGCCGAUGGCUGAUUAGCUAGUUGGUGGGGUAAAGGCCUACCAAGGCGACGAUCAGUAGCUGGUCUGAGAGGACGACCAGCCACACUGGGACUGAGACACGGCCCAGACUCCUACGGGAGGCAGCAGUGGGGAAUUUUGGACAAUGGGCGAAAGCCUGAUCUAGCAAUGCCGCGUGUGUGAAGAAGGCCUUCGGGUUGUAAAGCACUUUUGUCCGGAAAGAAAUCCUUGGCCCUAAUACGGUCGGGGGAUGACGGUACCGGAAGAAUAAGCACCGGCUAACUACGUG